CGAUGAGGAAAGAAGAAAAAAUUAUGCUUUUCCUUUGCUUUGAUUUUGUAAUAUUAUGGAAAAAAUUGAAUAAAAAGGAACUUCCACUUUACAAACAUGACUUUUUUUGAAGGAAUUUUCAAGAAUAUGUAGGUACCUAAUUCGUACGUAUAAAUAGCUACAUGAAGUAUGUACUGUCAAAUAGACAGAAUCCAGGAGGGAAAAUGUUCGAUAAAACCUUCAUCAGUAUACACGAAAUUAAUAUUACCUACCUACCUACUUUAUGCCAAUCGAUAGGAAAUUUUAAUACUUUCAAUUUAUAUCUUCAAACAUUCACCCAAACUCAUAUUUAUUCAAGAAAAAUGAAAAAAAAGAUCUAAUUUUAUUGGUUUACAAUGCGUUUUGAUGAAAAUCCCCCCCCCCCCCAGUAAGAUUACUUUGUGGUGGGAGUAUUUUGAUCCUCUACAAGUUCGAUUAUUCAACCUUCCAUUUCAUAUGUCAUAUCAAACAAAACAAGACACCAGCUUAUCACUGAUUGCAAGAGAGUUUCUGCAUUCGCUUUUUGCCUAGAUUUAUAGAUUGGAUGCUUUAACUGCUUUAAUGUGCAACAGUUAAUUGCUUGAUGCGUUUAAAUUUUAGGGGAAAAAUAUAAAAAAUAGAUACCUACCUAUCGAUCCAGAUGUUGGGUGGAUCACCCCCCUCUCCCCACAAAAAAGUUGCUGGAUCUUGACCAAAUUCAGCAAAGAAAUUUGAAGUUGAAAGUCGAUCAGAAAAAAGUUUCACGUCAGGAGAGGUACCCCUGCAGCAGAAAUAAGCAUAGAUCCUCAGAGAGAGGGGGUAUUUUCAAAAAAAUCGUUGUUUUUUCGAACCAGCUCUUAUCCAACCCGCUGUGGGGAAAAUUGCACAGUCCGAAAUGAAAGUGUCAAUUUGAGAUUUGUCGUCGACCUAUGCAAGUUUCCGUCGAAAUCCAGACCACUUUUGGGGGUUCUACUAAGGGGUUGAAAAUUUUGCAAAUUGCUCAUUUUUGGAUGAAUCCUGCAUAGCCCAACUUGAACAUAUUUUCUUUCCAGAUAUUCCACAUUAGUUAUACCAAAAUACAGAAAGAUAUCAUUCUGGAAACAGGGGAAAUAUUUUGAAACCCAGCGGUGCCAAUUUUUUAUUCAACAUUUCCAACUUGAAAGAAUCGUAAAUUGGCAGUUUUUCUCAAGUUAAUGAAAUUGGAAAUAAUGGCCAAAAAAUUGGCACCACUGCGUGUUCCAGAAUAUUCCUCAGUUUCAGAAGUAUCUAAUGUCUUUCAAUAUUUUGGCACCAAUUGCAAAAUAUUUGCGAAGAAAAAAUUUUCAAAACACGAUUUUUUUCAAGACCUGCUGACUUUUUUUCUUGGGUGAUCGACCCUUAUGAAUAAGUUUGUUGAAAACAGUACCCAAUACGUUGCAAAAAGCUCAAUUUUAUAAUGUAUGAACAUUCAAGUAGGUAACACUUUUCAGUGUGUUACGUUGAAGUUAUUACUUCUGUAUAGUUUCCUCGAAUACGUAUGUAGAUAAAACUACUUACGUAGUUACCUACCUAAUUAUCAAAUAGGAAUUUUAAUCAAAAUUCAAAACAAUUUCAUAUUAAAGUAGCACAAUGUGGCUGAACUUAUUCUGAAGUUUCGAGUUUCUGCGCUACCUGCACCCCCCCCCCCCCCGGAAUAUGUUCAAUUUUAUCAAAAAAUAGAAUUCAGCGGUUUUUUUUUUCAAAAAAAGAACAGUAUCAACUAUAAAGGGAGUGGAAGCCAACAAAAAUUGCAAAAAAAUUCUCAAGUGUGAAUAAAAGCUACUUUAAGGACUCCGUGCCUCUCAUCUUGUUUUUUAAUUUUCCAAUUAGAAAAUUUUGGAUUUGAACCGGCUCAAAAAGAAUUUAAAGAUAUGUACCUAAUGUGCCUUUAUAAGUGCUGAAUUUCAUUUUUACUUUUUUUUUUUUUAGCUUAUUUAGGAAGUUUUUAUCGGAAAAUUCACAGGAGGAGGAGGCUUCAGAUGGGUUUGAAACCAACAUUUUAGUUUUGUGAAUAAAUUCGUCGCUUUUAUCCGCUUGCGUUCACUUGAUUUUUUUGGCGUGCACUUGAAUUUUUUGUUGUCGUGCAAUGGUUGAAAACUGUUCCCGUCGUUAAAAAAGUGGUUUUGGACGUUAGCAUCUGUCGUGCAAAAAACUUUUUUUUGGUCUUUCAAAUCAUUUAAUCUGUCGUGCCGAUAAAUUGCACCAUUUUUAAAUGUGUUUUCGGCCUCUAAAAAACAUAUAUGUAUUUUUUUCAUAAAAAAUGUUGAGGUGGGUCGUGGUCAAAAAUUGAAAAAACUGACAGAGGGUGUAAAAAUGAAUUCUGGGGUGAAUUAUUGUUUUCAAAUAAAAAAAUACACGAGGCUAAGAAAAUAAUUUUUAUUGUUAUUUCAGAAAAGGGGGGGGGGUGUCUGAAACUUUCCUGACGAAAGGUGCUCAAUAGUACCCACCUUCCAUGCAAAUGUCAACCCUGAAGCUCUCGGGGGCAAAUUCACCUUACUUACCUAUCAACAUGGGGCCCUCAAACUUUGAUUUUAUUUCUCAACAAAGAGGGUAGAAGUAGCCAUUUACAUAAUAUGAGGAAAGUUUUUUAUCAUAGUUCCUGUACUGCCAUGACUCUACUGCAUGAUACCUAACCUACUCGUGUGUUAUUAGUCAGAACUGUACAGUCGAAAGAAAACUAUUGUUGACGUUGAUCUACUACAUAUAUAUUUUGUCUUUUAAAAAUUGAUAAGCAUAUACGUAGGUACCUACCUAACAACUAUGUAAGUACGUACCUAUGAACAAUUUUUGGCUAUGAUGCAUACCUAUUACCUAUUCAUACCUAAUACAACGUUCGAUUUUUAAAUUUUUGUUUACACUUUUUUCUGCGUAGGUAUACUGUUUAUGUUUACAGCUACUACUUCAAUAAUUUCUCCGAAACGAUAAAAAUAUGUGCAUUAGGGCAUGUAGUACUCACGAGGAGGUCUAGGUAUCUUACAAACUAGACAACCUGCCGAGUUGAAAAAAAUGAAUAAAUACGAGUACUUUCAUUUAUAUCAGCAGUCACGAAUAUCUUCUAUAACAAUAAUCAUUCGGAUCAAUAAAAACAAGUUUUAGUAGUGUUUUACGUAAAGUACAUAUUACGUUUCGUGUUGUACAAUUCAAACUUAUUAAUCGUAAGUACCCAGGUAUGGAUAUCAUUUCAAAGACUUUUAUUGCAAUAUUUUUCUUCACAAUCAUAUUAGUUGCAUACAGUAUACCUGUUAGGGCUGAUGGAGUACCGUGUGAUCAAGAUCCAAAAUGCUGCGAUCCUAAAAUAUGCCACUGAGAAAAAUCAUAAGUCAAUCACGAUACUGUUUCCUAAAAACACUGUAAUGAGUACCUACAUUGAAACACAGUAAAUUCUGAAUUAUGGUGUUUUACAAUAUUCAUUCCUAUGUUUCAAUGUAAAAUUUCUUAAAUACACUGUUUAACGUGGA